rnacentral:rRNA from 1 species
UACGUAGGGUGCAAGCGUUAAUCGGAAUUACUGGGCGUAAAGCGUGCGCAGGCGGUUAUAUAAGACAGUUGUGAAAUCCCCGGGCUCAACCUGGGAACUGCAUCUGUGACUGUAUAGCUAGAGUACGGUAGAGGGGGAUGGAAUUCCGCGUGUAGCAGUGAAAUGCGUAGAUAUGCGGAGGAACACCGAUGGCGAAGGCAAUCCCCUGGACCUGUACUGACGCUCAUGCACGAAAGCGUGGGAGCAAACGAGGAUACGAAACCUAGUAGACCAG